UCCGAGCCUCUGACUGCAACAUAUGUAACAACUACCUCCCACAUAUAGUUCCAUUAUUUAUACUUAUAUAUAAUUAUCCUUAAAUAUAAUAACUAUCCAUUCUAAUAGUUGCUUCCCACAUCUAGCCUUUACUCUUGAUAGUUCCAGUAACUAGUGCCAACUACUUGGCUACUAUGCACAUAUACAAGGACAACCACUCUACAACUACCAAACACAGUGGUUGUGCCUUGUCAGCCUUCAAUUUACCUUGGUAGCUUGUGUUAAACAUCUUUUCACUCAUUGAACCUAUAACAUAAUCUAUUCUUCGAAAUCCAAG
rnacentral:lncRNA from 1 species